UAACUUACCUGGCGGGGAAGUGGUCAUGAUCAUGAAGGUGGUUCUCCCAGGCAAAGCUAGCCCAUUGCCCUAUGUGUGCUGAGAGCCUGCAAUGUCCCCUAAAUACUCAUCUGCCCAAUUUGUGGUAAUAGGGGAUGGCAUUGUCAGUGAGCAGGUGCUGC